GGGGAUUGUAGUUCAAUUGGUUAGAGCCCUGUAAAGACGGAAGUUGCGGGUUCGAUCCCCGUCCCG
rnacentral:tRNA from 1 species